UACGUAGGGGGCGAGCGUUGUCCGGAUUUAUUGGGCGUAAAGAGCUCGUAGGCGGCUUGGCAAGUCGGGUGUGAAACCUCCAGCUCAACCUGGAGACGCCACUCGAUACUGCCAUGGCUAGAGUCCGGUAGGGGACCACGGAAUUCCUGGUGUAGCGGUGAAAUGCGCAGAUAUCAGGAGGAACACCGGUGGCGAAGGCGGUGGUCUGGGCCGGCACUGACGCUGAGGCGCGAAAGCGUGGGGAGCAAACGGG
rnacentral:rRNA from 1 species